rnacentral:rRNA from 1 species
AGAGUUUGAUCAUGGCUCAGAACGAACGCUGGCGGCAUGCCUAACACAUGCAAGUCGAACGAACCCUUCGGGGUUAGUGGCGCACGGGUGCGUAACGCGUGGGAAUCCGCCCUUUGCUUCGGAAUAACAGUUAGAAAUGACUGCUAAUACCGGAUGAUGUCUUCGGACCAAAGAUUUAUCGGCAAAGGAUGAGCCCGCGUAGGAUUAGGUAGUUGGUGGGGUAAAGGCCUACCAAGCCGACGAUCCUUAGCUGGUCUGAGAGGAUGAUCAGCCACACUGGGACUGAGACACGGCCCAGACUCCUACGGGAGGCAGCAGUGGGGAAUAUUGGACAAUGGGCGAAAGCCUGAUCCAGCAAUGCCGCGUGAGUGAUGAAGGCCUUAGGGUCGUAAAGCUCUUUUACCCGGGAUGAUAAUGACAGUACCGGGAGAAUAAGCCCCGGCUAACUCCGUGCCAGCAGCCGCGGUAAUACGGAGGGGGCUAGCGUUGUUCGGAAUUACUGGGCGUAAAGCGUACGUAGGCGGUUAUUCAAGUCAGAGGUGAAAGCCCGGGGCUCAACCCCGGAACUGCCUUUGAAACUAGGUAGCUAGAGUCUUGGAGAGGUCAGUGGAAUUCCGAGUGUAGAGGUGAAAUUCGUAGAUAUUCGGAAGAACACCAGUGGCGAAGGCGACUGACUGGACAAGUACUGACGCUGAGGUACGAAAGCGUGGGGAGCAAACAGGAUUAGAUACCCCGGUAGUCC